rnacentral:rRNA from 1 species
UACGAAGGGGGCUAGCGUUGCUCGGAAUCACUGGGUGUAAAGCGCACGUAGGCGGAUUGCUAAGUCAGGGGUGAAAUCCUGGAGCUCAACUCCAGAACUGCCUUUGAUACUGAAGAUCUUGAGUUCGGGAGAGGUGAGUGGAACUGCGAGUGUAGAGGUGAAAUUCGUAGAUAUUCGCAAGAACACCAGUGGCGAAGGCGGCUCACUGGCCCGAUACUGACGCUGAGGCACGAAAGCGUGGGGAGCAAACAGG